AACGAACGCUUGCGGCAGGCUUAACACAUGCAAGUCGAACGCAUCCUUCGGGGUGAGUGGCAGACGGGUGAGUAACGCGUGGGAACGUGCCCUUCAGUUCGGGAUAACCCAGGGAAACUUGGGCUAAUACCGGAUACGUGCGAGAGCAGAAAGAUUUAUCGCUGAAGGAUCGGCCCGCGUCUGAUUAUCUAGUUGGGGGGGUAAUGGCCCACCAAGGCGACGAUCAGUAGCUGGUCUGAGAGGAUGAACAGCCACAUUGGGACUGAGACACGGCCCAAACUCCUACGGGAGGCAGAAGUGGGGAAUAUUAGACAUUGGGCGCAAGCCUGAUCCAGCCAUGCCGCGUGAGUGAUGAAGGCCUUAGGGUUGUAAAGCUCUUUCGUCCGGGACGAUAAUGACGGUACCGGAAGAAGAAGCCCCGGCUAACUUCGUGCCAGCCGCCGCGGUAA
rnacentral:rRNA from 1 species